AUUGAACGCUGGCGGCACGCCUAACACAUGCAAGUCGAACGAGUGGCGGACGUGUGAGUAAUGUCUGGGAAACUGCCUGAUGGAUGGGGAUAACUACUGGAAACGGUAGCUAAUACCGCAUACCAUCGGAUGUGCCCAGAUGGGAUUAGCUAGUAGGUGGGGUAAAGGACCACCUAGGCGACGAUCCCUAGCUGGUCUGAGAGGAUGACCAGCCAAACUGGAAAUGAGACACGGUCCAGACUCCUACGGGAGGCAGCAGUGGGGAAUAUUGCACAAUGGGCGCAAGCCUGAUGCAGCCAUGCAGCGUGUAUGAAGAAGGCCUUCGGGUUGUAAAGUACUUUCAGCGGGGAGGCGUUACCCGCAGAAGAAGCACCGGCUAACUCCGUGCCAGCAGCCGCGGUAAUUC
rnacentral:rRNA from 1 species